GGGAAACUGGGUCUAAUACCGGAUAUGACUCCUCAUCGCAUGGUGGGGGGUGGAAAGCUUUUGCGGUUUUGGAUGGACUCGCGGCCUAUCAGCUUGUUGGUGAGGUAAUGGCUCACCAAGGAGACGACGGGUAGCCGGCCUGAGAGGGUGACCGGCCACACUGGGUCUGAGACACGGCCCAGACUCCUACGGGAGGCAGCAGUGGGGAAUAUUGCACAAUGGGCGAAAGCCUGAUGCAGYGACGCCGCGUGAGGGAUGACAGGCCUUCGGGUUGUAAACCUCUUUCAGUAGGGAAGAAGCGAAAGUGACGGUACCUGCAGAAGAAGCGCCGGCUAACUACGUGCCAGCAGCCGCGGUAAUACGUAGGGCGCAAGCGUUAUCCGGAAUUAUUGGGCGUAAAGAGCUCGUAGGCGGUUUGUCGCGUCUGCCGUGAAAGUCCGGGGCUCAACUCCGGAUCUGCGGUGGGUACGGGCAGACUAGAGUGAUGUAGGGGAGACUGGAAUUCCUGGUGUAGCGGUGAAAUGCGCAGAUAUCAGGAGGAACACCGAUGGCGAAGGCAGGUCUCUGGGCAUUAACUGACGCUGAGGAGCGAAAGCAUGGGGAGCGAACAGGAUUAGAUACCCUGGUAGUCCAUGCCGUAAACGUUGGGCACUAGGUGUGGGGGACAUUCCACGUUUUCCGCGCCGUAGCUAACGCAUUAAGUGCCCCGCCUGGGGAGUACGGCCGCAAGGCUAAAACUCAAAGGAAUUGACGGGGGCCCGCACAAGCGGCGGAGCAUGCGGAUUAAUUCGAUGCAACGCGAAGAACCUUACCAAGGCUUGACAUGGACCGGACCGCCGCAGAAAUGUGGUUUCUCCUUUUGGGGCCGGUUCACAGGUGGUGCAUGGUUGUCGUCAGCUCGUGUCGUGAGAUGUUGGGUUAAGUCCCGCAACGAGCGCAACCCUCGUUCCAUGUUGCCAGCGCGUAAUGGCGGG
rnacentral:rRNA from 1 species